rnacentral:rRNA from 1 species
UCGAGAAUCUUCCGCAAUGGACGAAAGUCUGACGGAGCGACGCCGCGUGUGGGAAGAAGGCCUUCGGGUUGUAAAGCUCUUUUACCAGGGACGAUAAUGACGGUACCUGGAGAAUAAGCCCCGGCAAACUUCGUGCCAGCAGCCGCGGUAAUACGAAGGGGGCUAGCGUUGUUCGGAAUUACUGGGCGUAAAGCGCACGUAGGCGGAUUGUUAAGUCAGAGGUGAAAUCCCGGAGCUCAACUUCGGAACUGCCUUUGAUACUGGCAAUCUCGAGUCCGGAAGAGGUUAGUGGAAUUCCCAGUGUAGAGGUGAAAUUCGUAGAUAUUGGGAAGAACACCAGUGGCGAAGGCGGCUAACUGGUCCGGUACUGACGCUGAGGUGCGAAAGCGUGGGGAGCAAACAGGAUUAGAUACCCACGUAGUCCCUGAGCGGGCUGGCAAGGCGCAU